AAGGACACGCAGACUCAAGACAAAGCAUCCCACUCCCAGUCAUCAGUCAAUAUUUAGAGAGGGAGAGCUUAUGUUCUAACAGCAGUGUCCGCAAUCUAUGCAUUCCUCAUCGAUAUACAAAGACUGCGUACUCCGAGCGUUCGGAGGGGAGAAAAACUGUGCUUUCAGGUUUAUUUAAUGCUGACAAGUAACGUUCAGCGGCCGGGAUUGCAUCAGGACCCAUUAGCUUGGCCUCUUUCUUUGGCUGUUGGCACGUCCCGGUUUACCUCAGUAUUCAGACUGCGAGACCUCAGCAAAUCAGAGCGUCCCGGAUUCGGAAGCUGCUGGAUAGCAAGUCUCUGUACAAGGUUUGCUCGGGCAACAAGCUUUGUGACUGGAGAAAUUGAGUCUGAGAAGGAAUCUGUCUGCGGCUUGGUCAAGAUGUUACAAGCUGCGAGGAUGCCCAGCGAGCAACCACUGCAGUCCGGAAGGGGAUGAAGAGGGAGAGCAAAACUGCAUGAAACACCACUGCAUGCUGCAUUGACAGUUUGUCUUGGUGAAUGCAGCAAAGUCAGAGCUCCUGCUUCCACCCACAGAGAGAGAAGACCUUGGGGCAACUUUUCAACUGGACGGGAAAGUGUAGGAGACAGGAGGGCGCGGUUUGGGAGAUCGAGGCUGACUGCAGAACGAAGGACUGAGUCGUGGACUGAGGCAAUCCUGUGAUUCCAGAAGUCAACCUUGUGAACCUUUUCUCAGAAACCUUGCUACAGCUCAUCCAAGGAGUUUAUUCUCCAGUUCUGGUAUACUCUGGAGUUUUUGAGGAUUCCACAAGGUGAAUGCUGGUUUGCUGGAAUCUCGAAUGGCUUUCUUGUGACCGAUUGCAACUUUGGGAGUUCCCAGACCUGGAUUAAUACAGGAAGAUGUGCGUGUUGUCCAUCCGGGCAGAGCUUCCCUGCACCCGUUUAAGCCACAGAGAAACGAGGGCUUCAAGAGGAGUGAAGAGCCGAAUGCUUGCUGGGGUUUUGGCUGUCUGUUGCACUCGCCUCCUGCCAAUCGCUUCCAGUUACGCCGAUGGAACCGACUGCGCAGAGGCUCCACAUGUUUAGACCACACCAGUCCGACCAGAUGCUUUUUCCAGGCCAGGAAGUUCUGCCCUGUAUUACCACAUGUGUAUGUUAUAAUUAUGUUAUUAUAAUAACAGGUGAAUAGGUUGUUAUAUUUAUGGCGAAGGUUGGGGUAGGUGUAAAAAUAAUCAUACGUGCUUGUUGGGUUUGGAUUGGACCUGGUUCAGGUUAGAUUUUAAUGCUAUAUCCAAACAGACAUCUAGCGCGUGAAGACCCAGGGUUGUUCCCAUCCAAUCCAGAGCUGUCGCCAAUACUGUCAGGUUGUGGAGAAGAGGGCCUUUGUACCACCAUCACCCAUGUGAGCCCUCUAUCUUCUCUUUGGACCAGAAGGAGAUCGAGAGAGAAAAUCCAUUGAGUUGGAAGGAUCGUUGACCCCAAGUCAACAGGUUAUCCUGGUCUAGUGGUUAAGUCAUUGGACUGGCACCUGGAGCUCUGAACCAGUAAACCUGAGUUCAAAUCCCACCAUGGUAGCUGGGGAAUAAUUAAAUUUUUUUUAAAAAAUUAUAGAUGCUGGAAAUCUGAAAUAAAAAUAGAAAUUGCUGGAAGCACUCAGUGGGUCAGGGAGUUUCUGCGGAAAGAGAAACAGUUAACGUUUCGGGUGGAAGGCUUUUUACCAGAACUGAGAGAGGAAUUUUAAAAGUAAUUUUAAGAUGCAGAGGUGGCAGCAGGAAGGAUGAAUAGGACGAAGGGAAUACCUGUGGUAGGGUGAGGCUGGAUCAAAUGGGUUAGUGAGGCAGUGAGAGGGUGAUAAUGUUUCUGUGUCAGUGUUGCAUGUUGCUGACAAUGGGGCUGUGGGACAUGAUCAGCAGGUCAUAGAGAGAGAGAACCUGAGCUUGUAUCACAGAUAACUUCGAGCAGAAAUGGCCAGUGGUGGUACAGACAGAGAAAGUGAGCGUUGUCUUUUGACCUGGCUCCAGCAAUCAUGGAUAUUUCUAACGACCUACCUAUCACCUUCCCUACAAUUUAGCGUUACCUUUAUCUCUUAUUCCCAGUUCUGACACAGGGGGCCAUGUGACCUGUUAACUCUGUUUUUCUUUCCAUAGAAGCUGUCUGACCUAUUUUUUCAGCAUGUUGCCAAUAUUUAGAUAAUUAGAACAUAGAACACUACAGCACAGUACAGGCCCUUUGGCCCACGAUGUUGUGCCGACAUUUUAUCCUGCUGUAAGAUCCAUCUUAACCCUUCCCUCCCACAUAGCCCCCCAUUCUGGAGUUUAAUGAGGCAGGUCCCAGUAAUGAUGAGCAUGAAGCUAUGGGACUGGUGUAUCUGGUUCAUGAAUGUCCUGCAGGGGAGGGAAUCUGUCAUCCUUGGUCUAUACCUGACAUCCACAUCCUGUAAAUGAAUAAAAUUUUAAGUCCUUUAAUAAGACAAAGCUAUGUUUCAGCAUUGCUUGUGCCAGAUAAGGGAAGGGUAGGGUGUGUAUUUUGACGCUGAUCACACGGUGUACAUUCCUAUGUAUCAUUUCUGGUUUGAUAGAGAUCUGAGUUACAGAGAGAAGAAUUCAUAACCAGCAAGUGAAUUAGAACGUGCGUGUGCAACCUUGUGACUUGUUGCAAUGCUGUGUUUAAAUGCAUUGCUACAUUUUCAUUUUAAUCAGUAUUUCUCGGUUAUCUAGUUCCAUUUUCUAAUGUGAUUCUUUUCUCAUUAAAAACUUGUGCAACAGUU